rnacentral:rRNA from 1 species
AGCGAACGCUGGCGGCAGGCCUAACACAUGCAAGUCGAACGAAGCCUUCGGGCUUAGUGGCGGACGGGUGAGUAACACGUGGGAACGUACCUUUUGGUUCGGAAUAACGCAGAGAAAUUUGCGCUAAUACCGAAUGAGCCCUUAGGGGGGAAGAUUUAUCGCCGAAAGAUCGGCCCGCGUUGGAUUAGGCAGUUGGUGUGGUAAAGGCGCACCAAGCCUACGAUCCAUAGCUGGUCUGAGAGGAUGAUCAGCCACACUAGGACUGAGACACGGCCCAGACUCCUACGGGAGGCAGCAGUGGGGAAUCUUGCGCAAUGGGCGAAAGCCUGACGCAGCCAUGCCGCGUGAAUGAUGAAGGUCUUAGGAUUGUAAAAUUCUUUUACCAGGGACGAUAAUGACGGUACCUGGAGAAAAAGCCCCGGCUAACUUCGUGCCAGCAGCCGCAGUAACAC